AAUGAGUAAACGGGAGACGAAGAUGGGCUGCCCAGUCCCCUCUUCCCACAGGUAGUGUCUGCAGAGCUGACUUGGAUCCUGUGAGUGGGAAGGCGCCUGGGAAACUUGGGACAAGGUGAGAAUUUCCCAAACCAACUGCCCAGCCAGGCCUACUGAAGCUGUGGCCUUUGAUAGAAGGAAAAGCAGCAAUGCUGGAGGAGGGAGGCGAAGGUCAGGGGUCCACAGGGGCUCAAGAUGGCUGAGCCUGGAGCGACGCAGGGGCUGUGGGCACAGUGACAGGCAGCUUCUCCGGGGAAGUCAAACAUACUUUAUUCAACAUAGGAAUGUCUGAACAGGAGGACCUUGGGCAGGGUUCCCUGAACUCUGCUUCAAACCCCACUGGAAACAGAGCAAAGAUCAUCACGAAAACCCAGGACACCAGGGCAGGGGGGCUGCACAAGGUCGGGUCAGGUCACAGUGGGCCAGCACACAGUGGCCCCGCCCAGGGCCAGCCCAGCCUGGGAGAGGGGAUGAGGGCUCCAGGCAGCUCACUCAGAAAAGCCAGGGUAGGAGGAGGGCACCAGCCUGGCCCACUCAGGGAAUUCUUUCUACCACUGAAAGCGGUGGGGAUUAACUUAGCCAGGGCUGCCACGCCAGCACACGAUUACAAGGUUCGGGGUGACAAGGAGGAAGCCCCUUGGCAGGACUGUGCAGCCCUCACAGCCACAUGCACGGCAGCCCUGCCAAUGGCUUCCAAACAGCAAACCAUCAGUGACACUGACCUUCCCUGCCCAGGACACCCCUCCUGAGACCUGGGGCCAGUGUGGUGAGGAGGGGGCACUAGGGGCGGAGCCAGGCAGGCUGCAGGCAGAACCAAGAGGACCCCAGUCCCACACUGAAGACAUCAUGAUUGGGGGUGGGGAAGAUCUCAGGGUCUCCAUCAGGGAAGAGCAUCAGUCUGCACCCUCGGCCUGAGGGUGUGCUUGUGGGCAGGGCCCAUGCAAGGCCUGGGAAGAAGCCAACCCCGAGAGAGGGAAGCCCUGUGCACUGCGGAGCAGCCAAGGCCUCUGUUCCAAGCAUCCCGGCUGUGCUAUGUAGUGCAGGGCAUGAACGGGGAGAGAGGAAAGGAUGGGAGUGCAGGGUGGGGUCAGAAAGGCGGUGUAGAUAUCCUAUGACCCCUGGGGAUGACAGGGAGAAGCCACUCAUGAUGGCCUAGUUGGGUCCAGCUGAAUGCCAGGGGGGUGGGCAAAAGACGCAAAUAUCAUCUUCCUGGACCCACCCCUGCUAAUCCAAGAGUGGGACAUGUUACCAGUGUCCCCUUCUAGGGAAGAAUCUGUAUUACUCCCCCCACUACUCCUGCUAGAAACUACGGUGGCAGAUGCAGGGAACUCAAAGUCUAGAUGUGAAUGGCAUGGGUGCUCCUUCCAUCUACAAUGCACGGGGAAGAUGAAAGGGCUUUGGGAUGGCGUGGGAAUGCAGACUGGCUCACCACCAGGAGGUGGGAAGGGCUGUCUGGAUGGAUGGAGGCUAAGAGGGCAAGGCUGGUGCCCAGUGAGUAUGAGUGACAGCCAGAAAAUCACUACACUACACACAAAGCUAGGGGUGGUGGGAGACCCAAGGAGGACUAUUCUAUCUAAAUGACUCACAGACAGGGUGACACGAAUGAGCUGGUGCCCACAGAUCACAACCAACAGGCAGAGAGGCACAGCUGAUCACUGUGGAGGGAGGCGGGGAGGGUAGCAUGGGGCACACGGCCCUCACAGGGACUCACUCUUCAAACUUCCCUUCCCGAAUAUGCUCGAAGGAGAAGGGUAAGAACUUGAAACCGGUCCCGCUGUAGAAUUUAUUCUGGAACUCAACCCUGGAGAAAGAGAAGAAGAAAGCUGUCAUUCAAUAGAAACUUUGUGAAGCUUUUUAGGACUUCACAGUUGGGCAGGAAAGAUGCCCCGUGCCCACCUCACCCCGAGCCUCCCUUCCCUGGGGAAGCUAGAGAAAGCCCAGAGUGCAGAGAUCCCACUUUUAAGGCCUGGGAUCAAGAGUUCGACGCACGGAGGAAGGGAUUUGCCCUCAGUUCCCAAUCUUGCUCUGUCCUGCCGAGCAGUGUGUUUAUGCACAACUCUCUGCAGAGAGGCAUGUGCAAAAAAAGUUCAGUUACCUUGAGCCUAACAUCGUUAAUGAACAAGUGGCCCCCAUCGCCCCCUCCUGGCAGGGGAUCACACAGCCCACCUCUAAGGGAAGCCCCUCCAGAGACACUGGGCAAGCACCUCUGUUUGCUUGUUAUUUUUCCUUGGGGGAGCAAAAGGGCGAGCUUGGAGUGAAUGUUGAAGGCUUUCCAUUUAAGGAAGGAAAUUCCAAGGAAAGAGGGGGAGUUAGGAGGGGAAGUCUUCUCAAAGCAAUGGCAAAAAUAUUCUCCAACCACAAAAACAUCUGAGAAAGAAUUCUUCUCUUGGGGACUAAAAAGAAAAAGCCUGAGCUCCCUUCCCAGCAGUUCAGCAUCCAUGCCUGAUGGUCUCUGUGGGGCCCUUUCACUCUCAGGGAGGGUGGGAGGAAGACUGUCCCAUAAGCAGAGCGAGGCUGCUUGGCUGUGCUUCCUCCUGCAAACUCACCCUGGACAGCUGCCCAGCAACCAAACCACACCAAAUAAGGGCAGAAAAAUGCAUGAUUCAGGGGAUAAAAAGGCCAAGGAGAGCUGCCCUGAGGAAUAGUUUCCACAUGGUGCUGUGUGACCCUGGAGGCACCGGAGCCCCUAUAAGAACAGGCAGGCGUGGGGGCUGGGGCAGGCUCCAGGUGACAGGUCACGUGCAGGGUGAGGGCUUUGAGGCGCUUUAAAGCUUCAGGAACCCUCUAGUUCCCUAACUCAGCUUUUACAAAUGGAGAUUCCUCCCUCCAAGCCAAGAAGGCAGGAAUUAAGAGAACAGGGGCUGGGAGGUGGCUGGGGCCCAAAGGUUACAGACUGUUUGCCAGUGGCACUGGGAGUUCCUCAGAGGCCCCUUCACUGGGGUGCAGGCUGAGGAGCACCCCCUUGAAGAAGAGCGCAACCGAAUUUUCUGAGUGGGAGUAAAAGCAGUCAGCUUUCUUCCCCACAUCCCCACAUUCCACAGGGGUGGGCCAAGGUCCUCCAGGAAAAACAGGACUCAGGAGGGGGAGGACACAGAGCUUCCAACUGACGUUAGCUGACGGUUCCCACCAGAGCAAUUCCAAACCAGGACCUGGAUUCACCCACGUCCCAACACCCCACCAAAACUACUUCUCCAAGUUCCAGCUACUGAGACCACCUCUGAGGGAACGCGGUGGGGCCUAGCAGUGGGUUCCUGCUUCUCACCCACUUGUGUUAGGUUUGAAUUCUUCAUGUUGAAUAGACUGUGUUCCCAUGUGGCAAGGGUUAUUUCAGAACAGCUGAAACGAGAUUUACAUGUCCCCUUUUCAUUCAACAAUACAUAGCCAGAGAGUGGACAAGUCACCUGAGGGUCCCAGGCCAUUACCUAGGAGUGAAUGUCAGCCUUGGUAGGGUAUGCUGACCCCCGACUCCAGUGAGGUGUCCAGAACUCUGACCCCCACCCCCUCCUGGCUAAUCACAAAACCAUUCUAAUCUUCAAACUGGGCAAAUGGAGCAGCAGCUUUGUUUUCAGAUGCCUGUGGGGGCACCGCCCUUUUCUUGGCACCCCUCCAGUCACCUUAUCUACCCAUGGGGGCCCAGCAAGGAGGAAGAGGGAUAUAUGCCUGGGAGGGGCACAUCAAU
rnacentral:lncRNA from 1 species